AGGGGAGCCAAGGGCAUGAAGGAAGCUCCCUCUCCUGUGCUGAUCCAGCUCCGGCUGAGCUCCCCAAAGCCCUGUGCUGGCCUAGGGGAACCAGCACUUGUGUAGUUUUCCCCUUUGGGCCCAGCAGCAGAGCAGGGCUAUGCAUUAAAAUCACUUUAGGGGGUAGGGCAAUAGUAGUGCAUCCAUGGCUGGCUGCACGAGGGACUCUGAGCUGCAGUUACGUGUUAACGGUUUGUUUCAGUUCAACCAAGGCAUGUUCUGUUGGCACUGAGGUGUGAUCACACCCAGCACGCAGAGCCCCGCUGGGGGAAUAUUCCACGAGAUAGGACUGUAGAGACCCAAGUUCUAUUCCAGACUCUGCCACUGGCCUGCUGGCUGACCCGCGGCAAGUCACAUCACCUGUGUGCCUCAGUUUUCCCCAUCUGUAAAAGGGGGAUAAUGUUACCAACUGCCUAUGUAAAGUGCUGGGAGAGCUACAGAUGAAAAGUGCUAGGCAAGAGCUAAGUAUUACCAUCGGGUGCAUUUUGAAGGACCCCUAGACAAGCCUACAGAGCAUCCUGCUCAUGACAGAGCAGGCUCCUCCUUGCAGUCAGAAGAGUGGCACAGCUGAAACACAGAGCAGACACAUGGUAUAGGGACCAGCUGGCAAUCCGAUCCACCCCCGCCCCCACAGGUGACCAGUGCACAAUCGCAAGCCUGGAAGCAGGGUGCAGCCAGAUUUGUCUGAAUUACUCUAGGGCAGAGAUUAAAACUGACCUGCUGCCAUCUUGAGAGAACUUUUAAGACUCAGUGCUCAAGAAUAGUUGUCCUUUUGUUUUAAGUUACGAAGUCCAGCCACCCCUUGCUCUUCUAUUACGGAAGCACUAAUGCUUUUUGCAUCCCUCCUUCCAACUUACAAAAGCAGACUUCCCUCUCGGCAGAAGACCGAGACUCCCCGCAACACACAAUAGAUGUAACACUGCACUGUUGGCUGCCUUUUUGCUUCAGCUUCCCCCCACCCCGUGUGUAAGGCUCAUAAGGCCGGCUACCCUCAGACAUGCUGCAGCAGCCCUCUGAUUGCAGGACUGUGGGAUCAGCCCCAGAGGGGUGUCUGCCAUUUAAAGAGGAAUUCGCCUUUCACAGGCAGCAUUGCUGAUUCUUUCUCUUUCCCAUCAGCUCUGUGGAGUUCUCCAUCAGGAAUAGCAUCGUGGGCUUUUUAGUGACACUUGUACUUCCAGGCCAGAUUUCAGGGGAUUUUUUUUUUUUUUUAAGGUUUAUUUUUGUUGGUUUGUUUUUUCCCUCCUCCAUUCACAACUACCUCUGGAUAAUUUAAGUUCCAUUCUCUUAACCAUAGAUAUGCUGCUGCUGUUACUGCUGCUGUACUGGUUACAACAUUUAUUAUUCCAACAUGGUCUUUCUGGUUUUUAUUCCUCCCCCCGGGAACGAUUCAUUUACAGUCGGGAGCCGAAGCUGGGUGGAUGGCGGCGAGUGGUGCGGGGAGAUCAUUUUAAAGCGUUAGGCUAUUCUACUAUAGAAAGGGACAGAGUUUUUCAAGGGGGUGUGGUGAAGACACCCCGUCAACCCUUUCCCCCGGGCUUUCCAGCCAAUGUUAGAAAAACAAGAGAAAACGGCAAAGCAGCAACCCAGGACCUAUUCCCCACCAGCCGUUAGCGCUCGCCAGUGGGGAAAACACCCCUCCCUGUCCCUCUGCCCCAUUGGGAUUAGCACUCUACGGCCGUGGCCUGGAAACAUUCCCCGGCGGCUCGAGAUCACUGAACUGGAGAUGUUGCUCUCUAGAGAGAGAAGCAGCCCGGGUCGGGCGCGGGACUAGGCCUGGGCCUGAAUAAUGGCGGAGUCAGCCCCUGCCUCUGUUUCCCCACCUGCCUCUGGAGGGGAUGAUGUUCGUGAGGUGACUCAGCAACGCGGAGCGCCUUAGCUCCCAGGAAGGCGCCUCUGCUUGCGGCAGGUAAAGGAGGGGCCGGGGCGAGAUAUUGUUCGCUCGUUAAUCCACACCAGGUACCAGGCCACUUACUCUUUUCAUGCUCCAUGCCUCAGGCUGGGGGAUUAGACUCAGCAGGAAAGUAAACAGCUUGAGCGUCUGCCUCCAACGACCUGGGAGAUCCCUUCGCCACACCACACUCCAUCCCUUUAGCUACAACCAACUGCAGCGGAGCUGGAGGUUAUUACUAUGGGGAAGAACAAAGGGGUGAAAGCAGUUUUGGGGUUUACAUUGAGAGUUUUUACUGGGUGUUCAAGUCACCUGUCCAGCAGGGCGGUGGGGGGGACACCACCUGAACGUAAGCCGUGGCUGGAGAAAGCAGGCAGGUGGCUGACAGUUGGUAAAAAGUGGAGGUGUUUUGGCCCAUUGUUAAAGACCUUUUGGUUUCCUAUUUGCAGUUACUUGAAUAAAACAUUUUAUGGAUGUUUCCAGCCUCCCUGUCUCUCCCACCUGGUGGGUUGGUUUUAGAGCCGCACCCAGCCCCUGCCACAGAACCACCAACUCGCUCCCUGGCAGGCAGGCCUCUGCCUUUCAAUCUACAUACAGACACAGCACACAACACAGGGCUGCUGGUGGCCACUCGCUUUCCACUGAGACCUCAGGUGAGCAGAACAGCACCGGACGCAAGGCCCCUCUUCCAGCCUGGAGCCACAAGGGGGGCAGGAGCAUAGACAUAUACGACAGGACUUUGGAGCGAAG